rnacentral:lncRNA from 1 species
UUUCACAUUAACUUCCAUAUUGUAUAAACGACUGGAAAAAACUUGAGCACCUGCCCCUGUAUAAUCAUGUGCAUGUCUCUGUUCUAGCUCCAAGGUGAAUCUUCACUGCUCAUGUUCUCCUCAGAAGCAGUCACCUCACUCCCCUCAGGUUACUGUACACAUGCACCAACUGCCUGCUUCAGGUUUGCAUGGAGCUUCAUGGUUGUCUUUUGGAGAAAUGACCAGUCAAGUUGUGUUUGAAAUUUGAUUUUUUUCAGGGGCAAAAGGAGCCUCUGCAUUCUUGUCAAAUAUGUAAAUAGCAUGUUUUUGCAGGUGCUAAAAACCAGACUCUGAGUGUGUGUGUGUGUGUGUGUGUGUGUGUGUGUGUGUGUGUGUGUGUGCGUGUGUGUGUGUCUGUGUGUGCGUUCAAGUCACAUGACAUAUUUAACCGGAUGUAGCUGCAAGACGGAGCCUCGUUGACUCUCCGUUUCAACUUAUCUCAAAAGUGAGGACCUCAACCUAUAUACCAGUUUUUAAAUUGUGUUGAUAGGCCAAAUAAAACCAGAGUAAUGAUAAAUUAUGUCCGCGAUACUUUUUUUCUGCUUAUUUUGAUCACGUUCGGCGCUCGAUCGCGCUGUAUGAGACAGGAAAACAUAGCAUGCAGACAUUAGCGACAGGUCUUACAGGCGGAAAAGGCUUGCCAAAAGAAAAAAAAAACACACCACAACAUCUCUCCUAUUGGUGGAAAACUUCACCACAACAACCAAUCCAAAAUUAUAUGGUGACUGAUUGACAAGGGGCGGGAGCUUACGUUCUUCCUGCAACAUGAGAAGGGAGGGAGGGACUCUCAGCAGGGAUGCAGUCUGGGACACGUAGUUGCAAACCUAGCGACUUUGUUGUUAGAUUCAAUGACUUUUCAGACCCCUAACGACUUUUUUUUAGAAAGAAAGGGACUUUUAUCGACUUCUUCUGGAGUUUAGAGACUCUGACAUGAAGCAGGCUUUCCUUACUGAGGAGUUAGCAACGCUGCUAAGGGUGCAGAGCCACACAUGCGCUCAGAGCUCUGCAUGGGAGACUGAAGCUGACAGAGCUUCAGCAGUUAGCAGGUUUCACCCUCAGAGACCACCAGGGGUUCAUGUUGAGGCAUUUUAAUUUUAUUUUUUUUUGUGCCAUAGACACUGUCAGCACAAUCUGCAGUUACACUGACAAAAAUGCUGCAAAAAACUAAGAAUUAUGGAAAAAUUACACAUGGACUGACAUAGAGGAGGAUCUACACAAGUUUUUUACAUCAUGUUUUACAUCAUGCAUCAUUUACAUCAUGUUUUUUUUGUAGUGGCAUAAAUAAAAAGUGACAUUUGUGAGACUAUACAGUGUUUUGUAAAUAAUUUUACAAAGAACGCCUGGGCCAUUGCCUGCAUUUUGAUGUAAAUAGAGGUAAAUCACUAUGUUCUUUGUUAAAAAUUUGCAUAUGUUUUGAAGUUUACAAUUUUUAUUUGAAGUUUAAGUUUUAAAAACAGUUCAUCACACAUAUUUGUGGUUUAAUUUCACAUUAAUUUCCAUAUUGUAUAAAUGACUGGAAAAAACUUGAGCCCCUGCCCCUGUAUAAUCAUGUGCACGUCCCUGUUCUAGCUCCAAGGUGAAUCUUCACUGCUCAUGUUCUCCUCAGAAAUAGUCACCUCACUCCCCUCAGGUUACUGUACACAUGCACCAACUAUCUGCUUCAGGUUUGAAAUGGAGCUUCAUGGUUGUCUUUUGGAGAAAUGAACAGUCAAGUUGUGUUUGAAAUUUGAUUUUUUUCAGGGGCAAAAGGAAGCCUCUGCAUUCUUGUCAAAUAUGUAAACAGCAUGUUUUUGCAGGUGCUAAAAAACAGACUCUGAGUGUGUGUGUGUGUCUGUGUGUGUGUGUGUGUGUGUGUGUGUGUAUGUUGGCAUGUGUGUAUAUGUGUGUGUAUCCUGCAGUACUCUGUACUCCUGCAGUGGCCAAAAAGACUUUUAAGAAUGUGGAUUUUUGGGUCAUCUUUGGCGCCCCCUAGAACUGCAGUACUCUGUACUCCUGCAGUGGCCAAAAUGACUUUUAAGAAUGUGGAUUUUUGGGUCAUCUUUGGCGCCCCCUAGAACGUAAACCGUGGGGUGCAGCGUCAUGAUUUUUACAACUUUGAAUGGGCAUGGGGUGUAGAUUGCCCUGAGCAAAUUUGGUAUCGGUGGGACGAAAGCCUUAGGAGGAGAUAGCCACAUUCCAAUGUGUGCGAAUCGGCAAAAAAUGCAAAAUAGCCCUUUAACCGUACAUUAUACAGAUACGCGCUCUUUGACUUUUUCGUAGAUCUAAUUGAGAUACACAUGAUUGUCAAUUUUUGUGUCAAUAUGACAAAGCGUUCAGGCGUGACACUCAACAAUGUGUAUUUUUAUGUAAGGGGACAAGAAAAAAUUGACUUUUUUCUCCUACCAUGGGGGGCGCUCUUUUGGGGAGUAAAAAUUCCUUCACAAAUGUGUUGAUGGCUGGACAUUGCAUCAUCCUAGAAAACUUGGAGGCCAGUGAGGACAAAAAUAAAAAGUUAUAAAACAUUUAAGAAUGUGGAUUUUUGGGUUAUUUUUGGCGCCCCCUAGAACCUAAACCAUGGGGUGCAGCAUCAUGAUUUGAAUAACUUUUAAUGGCCAUGGGGUGUAGAUUGGCCUGAGCAAAUGUGGUGCCGGUGGAACGAAAGCCUUCGGAGGAGUUAGCGAAAUUCCAAUGUGUGCGUAUCGGCAAAAAAUGCGGAAUAACCCUUUAACUGUACAUUUGACAGAUACGCGCGCAUAGACUUUUUUGUAGAUCUUAUUGAGUUACAUGUGUGUGUCAAUUUUUGUGUCAUUUUGACAAAGCGUAUAGGCGUGACACUCAACAAUGUGUAUUUUCACCUUAGGGGACAAGAAAAAAUGGACUUUUUUCUCCUGCCAUGGGGGGGCGCUCUUUUGGGGAGUAAAAAUUCCUUCACAAAUGUGUUGAUGGCUGGACAUUGCAUCAUCCUAGAAAACUUGGAGGCCAGUGAGGACAAAAAUAAAAAGUUAUAAGACUUUUAAAUAUGUGGAUUUUAGUGCUAUCUUUGGCGCCCCCUAGAACCUAAACCUUGGGGUGCAGCGUCAUGAUUUUGAUAACUUUUAAUGGCCACGGGGUGUAGAUUGGCCUGAGCAAAUGUGGUGCCGGUGGAACGAAAGCCUUCGGAGGAGUUAGCGAAAUUCCAAUGUGUGCGGAUCGGCAAAAAAUGCGAAAUAACCCUUUAACCGUAAUUUUGACAGAUACGGCCGCACUGACU